UGUAAUGAAUUGCUGUAAAAAUUACAGCAUUAUUUUACAGCCGCGGACUGUUUUUUAAUAAUACAGCAUAUUGCUGUAAACUGCAAUGCAUUCUGGGGUCACGUGUAGGUCUGACUCAAAUUUACAGAAUUUUGCUGUAAAUUUCAAAUCUUCGGAGCCGCAUCGUCAACGGUCGAGGAGAUUAACGUUAAAGACAAGAGGAGUGAUUCACAACUGUGGUAAGUGACUUCAGUUUUUUAUAUUUCUUGUUUGGUAGUUUAUAGUAUAUGAAUGCAUCUACAUUCGCGGAUUAUAUUGGUAACCCCAGAUUCAAGCAUCAUCCGUCCGCGGGGCGCGAGGCAGAAUUGCGCGGGGUUUCAGUAGCGCGGUCGCGGUAGGAUUUCACACAUCCCCCGGCGCGCAGCCAUGGACAGAAAAUCUCUGGAAUCCUUCGUUAUGAAUGACAUGUUUCAGUGCUAAUAGUUUAUAUUCACUGUAACUUAGUGUUUAUCAGCACACUUCGUCGUGAUUAUUUUAUGAUGUAAAACAACUUUGCACAUGCAGUCAUCUGUUAACACGGGCGCCGAAAUAAAACGCGUUUCUAAAGCCUCGCGGUCAGUCAGGGUCGCUCACGGAGGAUGUGUGUGUCAUAUAAAUUCUCAGUGGUGCUUUUCUAAGAGGUUAACGUAACCAGUGAGAUGUAGAUUUUUUUUGAGCAUUUGCUAACUUCAGGUAACGUUAAUGUGAAAACUUUAACAAAUCUGUUUGAUAUAAAGUCUGCUUUGUAUAGUUAGCCUAAUUUAUUACCUUAGGGCGACCAAAUACGUUUUCCUUGAAAUUAUUAAAUAUGCUAUUUAUAUAUAUGUGUCUAUAUUUAUGUCGGCCGGCAAAUCUUGUGUGUAUUUUGGCACAGGGUGCACAAAUGCUCCUUAUCAGUGCGGUGACACUUGAACAAAUGAACUGAUCAUGCGCGACACUGACCAAUAAACAAACGAGUUGUUUUAUUGCGUCUAUGACUUGAAUCUUAUCAUCAGUUGUAGUGAUGGGAAGUUCGGAUCAUUUUACCGAAUCGGACUUUUGAGUCUCGUUCAGCAAAAUGAACGAAUCUUUUUUCGAGUCAUUUCAAAUGAACGAACAACCAGAAGGUUCAGGAAGAAAAAAAACAAAAUGCUUGCAGUCUGUUUCACAUUAGGAGGCAUUUUGCUGCAUAAUCGAUCCACCACAAACCAUAUGCAACUAUGGAAGCUCAACUUCCAUUAAAUGGACUGAAAACGCUCAAGUAACGUUAUAGGUCUCAAAACGCUUGCUCUGCGCCAGUGGAUACACACCAUAGACAGUAAAAGAAAUAUGUGCAUGUCACAGACUGUCUGGGCAUGCACUUCCGCGUUUCAGAGAUCCGCCUUUUACUUUCCGUCAACAUUACAUUAAUUAACGUUUAGAAAAUUUAUUUUUGACAUUUGUGAAUCAGUUCAGAAUCGUCUGCUUAUGCAUUGCGAUACAUUUAAGAAUCACAUUUUUAUCCCACCCCUACUAAAUAUAGAGACACUUUGACAAGUGGGCACUGGAUGCUGAGUAUUGAAGGCGAGGUAGUGUGUGAGGGCACUCAGCCCAGUUUCCUGUCCGGCCUUGCCACUCUGUUUGCUGCUUAUUACUAGUUUAAUCUUGAGUAUCAGGAGGAAGCAGUGUGUACCUUGGAGUUCAUUCAAAGGUGCUUUGUGGGCAUAAAUCCAGAGAGAGGACCCAAAGCCAAGGGAAAAGUGCCAUCGAAAUAAAAACAGGACAAGUGAUACAGAAGAAAAUGUGUGGCAGUCAACCCACAUGUUGCCACUCUUCUGUGCAAAUUCCAAUGGAAUUUCUGAAAUUCACACUUUGAAUCCUGGGAUGGAACUUCAUCUGGAGCAUAAUUGUUAUUUGGUUGAUUUUUAUCUGUUUGAUGGAAAGUUUGUAUGACUUCUGCAAGUGCGCGGCUCCUUCCGGUCAGUCAUGCAUCACUUUUUUUUGUAUGACUUGUUUGGCAAUAUUGGUCUAUUCCUUAAUGAUGAUAGCUAUCUGAAAAUGUCUUUGUGGUUUUUAAAGGAUUAGUUCACCCAAAAAUGAAAAUUAAGUCAAUAAUUACUUAUGUCGUUUCACACCCGUAAGAUCUUCGUUCAUCCUCACAACACACAUUAAGAUGUGGCUCAGUGAAGCGUGCAUUUCUAGCAAGAUCAUUUCUUUUUUUCAAUGCCCAGAAAGCCUCUAAAACAUUUAAAACAAUUCAUGUGACUACAGUUGUUCAACCUAAAUAUUAUAAAGCGACGAGAAUACUUUUUUUGCCAACCCCCCCCCCCCCCCCACCCCCAUCUCCCAAAACAACGAUUUUAUUCAACUAUAUCUAGUGAUGGGCGAUCUCAAAACACUGCUUCAUGAAGCUUAGAAGCUUUACGAAUCUUUUGUUUCAAAUCAUUUGCUCAGAACGUGUAUCAAACUGCAAAAGUCACACGAACCAUUGAAAUCAAA